rnacentral:tRNA from 11 species
AGAUGGAUAGCUCAUGGUAGGGCACAUGAUUUUGGUUCAUGAAGUGUUGGUUCAAAUCCGACUCCAUCUU